UACGGAGGGGGCUAGCGUUGUUCGGAAUUACUGGGCGUAAAGCGCACGUAGGCGGCUUUGUAAGUUAGAGGUGAAAGCCCGGGGCUCAACUCCGGAAUUGCCUUUAAGACUGCAUCGCUAGAAUUGUGGAGAAGUAAGUGGAAUUCCGAGUGUAGAGGUGAAAUUCGUAGAUAUUCGGAAGAACACCAGUGGCGAAGGCGACUCACUGGACAUGUAUUGACGCUGAUGUGCGAAAGCGUGGGGAGCAAACAGG
rnacentral:rRNA from 1 species